CAUCCAUUUCUUUCACCUGGGGAAAAUUCUGGAGCCCCAGGAGAGGAAAUGGAAGUG
rnacentral:pre_miRNA from 1 species